rnacentral:rRNA from 1 species
AACGAACGCUGGCGGCAGGCUUAACACAUGCAAGUCGAACGCGUGCAGCAAUGCACGAGUGGCGCACGGGUGAGUAACGCGUGGAUAUCUGCCUUUUGGUUCGGAACAACCCCGGGAAACUGGGGCUAAUACCGGAUGGUUCCUACGGGAUAAAGAUUUAUCGCCAAAAGAUGAGUCCGCGUCCGAUUAGCUAGUUGGUGAGGUAAUGGCUCACCAAGGCGACGAUCGGUAGCUGGUCUGAGAGGACGAUCAGCCACACUGGGACUGAGACACGGCCCAGACUCCUACGGGAGGCAGCAGUGGGGAAUAUUGGACAGUGGGGGCAACCCUGAUCCAGCCAUGCCGCGUGAGUGAUGAAGGCCUUCGGGUUGUAAAGCUCUUUUGGCGGGGACGAUGAUGACGGUACCCGCAGAAUAAGCCCCGGCUAACUUCGUG